rnacentral:rRNA from 1 species
GAUGAACGCUGGCGGCGUGCCUAAUACAUGCAAGUCGAGCGAACGGACGAGAAGCUUGCUUCUCUGAUGUUAGCGGCGGACGGGUGAGUAACACGUGGAUAACCUACCUAUAAGACUGGGAUAACUUCGGGAAACCGGAGCUAAUACCGGAUAAUAUUUUGAACCGCAUGGUUCAAAAGUGAAAGACGGUCUUGCUGUCACUUAUAGAUGGAUCCGCGCUGCAUUAGCUAGUUGGUAAGGUAACGGCUUACCAAGGCAACGAUGCAUAGCCGACCUGAGAGGGUGAUCGGCCACACUGGAACUGAGACACGGUCCAGACUCCUACGGGAGGCAGCAGUAGGAAAUCUUCCGCAAUGGGCGAAAGCCUGACGGAGCAACGCCGCGUGAGUGAUGAAGGUCUUCGGAUCGUAAAACUCUGUUAUUAGGGAAGAACAUAUGUGUAAGUAACUGUGCACAUCUUGACGGUACCUAAUCAGAAAGCCACGGCUAGCUACGUG